rnacentral:tRNA from 1 species
GUGAUGGCUCAAUGGUUAAGAGCACUGGCUGCUCUUCCAGAGGAGACCUGGGUUCAACUCCCAGCAAACACA